AUCCACGUGUGCUGUGAAUGCCUCCUCAUCUUUGCUGUGUGUUUCGAGAUGAUCAGCAGCAGAACGAGGGAGGAAGAAUGGGAAGAGGCAAGAGAGCAGUGCUGAGAAUGAGGAUUGGAAGCCUUUCCCGUGCUCAGGCGAGCCUGGCACAAUCCGUCGUGGCAAAUGGAGCUGGAUGCAACAGAACUCAGGCUUAAGCUUGGCUCAGAUCUUAGACCCAGCAGAGCCUCCUUAGAUCUGCAGGAGCUUUCUACAAACCUGACUGCUGAUGGGUGAAGAUACCACUCUGAGUGCCUCCAUCGCUGUGCAGCCUUUCACAUCCAGCUACUCACAUGGGAAAUUAGGGAGAGAAACCUGCCUGGAUGUAUGUGUGAGUGUGUAUAAUCCUUCAUCCCUCAGUAACAUCUGCAGGGGCUUCUGAGCAGAGCAGGCAGAGUUUGCUGUCACUGCUGGAAAAAGCUCAGACCUGCCCCUUUGCGCUGUUCUCUGUCUACAGAACAACUCCAAGGACUCCACUCCUUCCUUUCUAGCAAUUGCUUUCAGGGAUCCAGAUUUUAGUGGUUUGGAUAUUCUGAAAUGAAGCACUUUCUGGGUGAAUAAUACCAGCCAAACGCUCGCAGCUUGGCCUGGAGGAUGGGAAAAAUGCAGCCACCCAAAGCCAAGGCAGUUUCUCAAUGUCGAGGCUCAUUCGGUGCUUCUUAACGUUAGUGCCUGGUGCUGGAAUCUGCCCACGCAGGCUGGAGGCUGAGGCAAUAGUAUGUGAACACAUCUGCUCCAAGAGAUACUGUCAGACUUGGGGAGCAUCUUGUGGUAAUUAGGGGAAUUCAUUCCCUUACUCAGUCCAGCAGUUUUCUCUUGAUUGCUUCUUUCUGGUUUGUGGCAUCCUUGAAAAUUGUAUUAUCUGCAUUAUUUCUCCUCAGCCACUGGCAGCUCCCAGGCAAUGUUAAGAGCCUGUGUUCACACAGCACGUUCUUCCCUGUUGCA